rnacentral:lncRNA from 1 species
UAAAUGUGUCCCAAUGUGCAGAUUUUAUCAUCCAUCAUGUGCUUCCAAAUGUCUUUCAUUGCCAUCUAAUUUUUUUUUUUGUGGAAGAUUAGCCCUGAGCUAACAUCUGCUGCCAAUCCUCCUCUUUUUGCUGAGGAAGACUGGCCCUGAGCUAACAUCCGUGCCCAUCUUCCUGUACUUUAUAUGUGGGAUGCCUACCACAGCAUGGCUUGCCAAGCGAUGCCAAGUCUGCACCGGAAUCCAAACUGGUGAACCCUGGGCUGCCAAAGCGGAACGUGCGAACUUAACCGCUGCACCACCAGGCUGGCCCCUCAUUGCCGUCUAAUUGAUCACUGCCGUUGAUGGGAUUCGUCUGACCUAUCAGAAAGCUACCAUCGUCCUUCUUCACCUCACAUUUUUGGUGUUUCUUGGAAAAGAUUAGAAUCAGAGAUGUUAUAAAGACCUGUCCGACAUCAUUGCUACUAAGGAGCAGAUGAGAUUUGAACUAGAAGUUACUCCUUCUGAAGACCGAACCCCUACUUGUUUCGUUAUUCCAUGCUGCCUUCGUCUGUGAAAAUGGGAGCAAUUGAAAGCAUCUCAGCCUAAAGCAGAGCUGACCUAAGCCACUUAUUCCAAG